rnacentral:lncRNA from 1 species
AUGGAUAAUGCAUAUGAGAGAUGGUCAAGAAUUGAAGGGUCCCACUCAAUCCUUUGUAAAAAAUCUUUUUCAACAAAAUCAUCAAGAGAAGAAUAGCCUCUUCAAUAUUGUUUCUGGGGACAAAUGAACCGUCCAUUGAGAUCGGAGAUUAGGUGGACAUGAUUCUCCUCCACUAUAGAGAAGAAAAACGGCAAAUUCCUUCUGAAUCCUUGCAGUAGCCUGGAUCUCAAGUUUCCAUGGAGGCAGAAGAGCUCGGCGGUAUGACAUAAUUGCUUCUCGAGGAGCAUCUGCAAGUUUGCAUAAUUCAGGGAGCAGCUCAACAGCAUUGCUGAGAGUGUCCUGCAAUUUACAGUCACUACCAAAGGUUUCAGGAAAGCCUGCUGGAAAAGAAGAUUCGAGAAUGUCCAGAACUACUCUACAUGAUUGAGAAGCUUCUGCAAAAAUUUAUAUUGGAAACGAAUUAGCUGAAUAGGGUGAGAACUUUCAGUCAUUAAACUUUCAGGUAGACCUUCUCUUGUCACCUUGUCCAUACAAUCAAACAUUCAUGCACAUGGCAGAAUAAACAUUAAUCACAAGUAAAAAGGUAUAUGAAUCAGAAAAUCUAACUAAAGAACUUGAGCACUUAUUUGAGGAAAGUUUUUAGGAUAACCAGAUAUACUUGGGAUGGGAGAGUAGCAGAGUUAUAGAUUACAUUUUUUGUUCUCCAUAUUCACCAAGAGUAUGAAAUCAGUACAUUGUUGGAAAAUCCAAAAGCAUAAAAGCAACACGAUCCAAAGAGUUUUCACUUUUCUGGAUAAUUUAUUGGCUCAAUUAAGUGGGGAUAAGUGGAGGAUGCGUCAACAAUAUUAAUCAACAAUCCUCAAUCACAAAAUAAUUGGGAAGUGAAGGAUGGGUAAAAUAACAAAAGUACAGACAGCUGGGCAGACAUACAAAAAUUUCAACAUGAGUAUAUCAUGGAAAACUGAUGAGAAAGACAACAAUUUCCAGAAAGAGGAAACAGUAGGGAAGACAGUAAUAGAAGAAAAAAUUUAAUAAAUGAAGCAAACUGAAAAAGCUUUUUCAUUAUUGAAGAUGAUUGUUGCACGAAAACGUGCUAAUACAGAUAUAACUAAACACAUACUCUACCAUUGUACCUCUGAAGCGCCUGCAACGAUUUUGCUUUGAGAAAGACCGCUUCCAGGAGCACACUUACAGCAUUUAGGGACAUUGAUGGCGUAGAAAAACUCUGUGAACGUCUCUUUUGAGUUUUCGCUCUUUCGGCAAGGGCGAUUUUCAACUUAGGAGUCACUGAGGCAAUAUCUAUCCCUUCAAAAACAUGUAGAGCAGCCUCUAUAUUCCCCUUUUGGUAUUCAUAUCUUCCAAGUAAUGCUCUUGCUUCCUAGAAAAGUAUUGAUGUCUUUAGUUAAAUUGCCACCAAACUGAAAUUCUGCUACAUGCAAAUUUAGCUUUGAAGUAUUUAAGAAUGACAUGAUAAAGGAAAGAUAGACUUAAUAUUGCAGUGUGGUAGGCUCAAAGGGAGAAGGGAACAAGAAGACCAUUAAAAGGAAAGGAAAAGAUUUGCAUGUAAUAAAUCAGGGAAGUCACCUCAUAAUUCAAACAACCACUCUCACGCAAAGAUGAUUCAGCUUCUUCAAUAUUGCCAGUAUCAGGCUUUAGGCCAGCUUCUCCAGCUUGUGAUGAAUGAACACUUGCUGUGUAAUCCUUAGUUGCAAGGGAUUCAGGAGAUGGGAUUAUUUCAUCCAUCAGAAUUUGUUCAGACGAGCAUAGGCAAUUCAAUCUUGCGCACUUUCAAACUAGUCUGAUAAUCUUCCUCUUUUGUUGACCCAAUUAACAUUCUUCAUAUUCUACAGUCUCUCUCAUAAUCCUAAUCAGCAAUGCCGCCAAUAACAAUGAAUUAAGCUCAUUUGACAAGAUAAACAACAACAACAACCCAGUAUAAUCCCACUUAGUGGGGUCUGGGGAGGGUAGUGUGUANNNNNNNNNNNNNNNNNNNNNNNNNNNNNNNNNNNNNNNNNNNNNNNNNNNNNNNNNNNNNNNNNNNNNNNNNNNNNNNNNNNNNNNNNNNNNNNNNNNNNNNNNNNNNNNNNNNNNNNNNNNNNNNNNNNNNNNNNNNNNNNNNNNNNNNNNNNNNNNNNNNNNNNNNNNNNNNNNNCCAAGAACUUCCCACCUUGCUCUUGGGAGACUCGAACUCACAACCUCUCAGUUGGAAGUGUGGGUUGCUUACCAUCAGAGCAACCCCUCUUGUCUACAUUUGACAAGAUAAAUAGCUAGAAUUACAACUCCCACUCUAUUUUAGUAUCGCACACAACGGGAUAACAAAAAGUAAAGGAUAAAAGGAUUCAGAUCAAUCAUAUUAAUGCCUCCCCUCAAAUAAUUUACUAUUUUGCCAGCCAAAUAUUUCUUUCCCUUGCUUUUUAUCUUUCUUUCAGAAGGGGCAGAUCAACUGAAAUUGUUUUCUGUUGUUACCAGAAGAUUGCAGUCAACUGACACAAGUUUCUGUCGAAACCCAACAACCCACUACAGUAAACACAAAACCACAGACAUUCCCAAAAAGUAAUAAAUUAUUGCAAUUAGGAUCCCUUAGUCCCAAUAAAGAGAUACCAUUUAGUUUUGGUCACCAUCUUUAAACCAAAACGUGAAGAAACUAAAGCACAGUGACAAAAUUCCCAUAUUAUCUAUAACCAUCUCCAGACUUUAAUUCUGUCCCUCAAUGCUAUGACCAGCAAUAACAUAAUGGUUCUUCUUUUAUCUCCACAUUAGAUACCAAGUUUCAAUCAGAAAGUAUAAUGCUCCAUAUUUGCAAAACAUCCUAAAUCAACUAGACAUGACUAAUAAGUGAUAAUUAGAGGCCUAAGAGAAUAAGGAGUCCAUCAUAUACCAAGAAAAUGAGAAAUUGGAAUAGGAAGAAGGAAUUAUACCUUUCAAAAUUAGGUGAAUAAAGGAAGAGGAAUUGGAAAAAAGAGAGGCCAGCCACAGCAGUUCCCAUACUUUUUAUCUCCAAUCAAAACUCCAUUCUUUCUGUGAUCAACCAAAGAAUCCAAUAAAGCUUCAGACUUUCUUUUCUGUAUGUAAAUUACCACAAUAAAAACAGUCUCAGAAUCCAAUAAAUGAAUUGGGUUUGUGUGUAGGGACAGUUUGAAUAGGUGGUUGAGCUGAAUCCACCAAAAUUGCUAUAUGUGCACUCUCUCAAUUAUCUCAAAAUUCUCCACUUUUUGUGUGUAAAUUAAACUUAAUUACUAAUAACACAGUUCCAAGAACAGUCUCAGAGACCAAUGAUGAUAUGGGGUUAAAAAAGUACGACCCAGUACAAUACCACUAUAGGUGACCAACGGGUGGGCCGGGCCGGGUCCGGGUCCAAUUUUUCUGACCCGUCCGGGAAAGAUUUAUAGUCAUUUUACUUGCAAGCCCCUCACAACCGUUUCAAGUGUCAAAUAAGACAGGUGUAAAGAAGCUUAAAUGCUCCAUUUCAGGCUUCUUACAUUGAGAUUUUCCCCCAAUCUGAAGCUUUUUCUCUUAACCUGAAGAAUUGCAAGAAGCUGAGUAUAUGUUUCUACAGCAUUUUUCCCUUGACCCUGCGCAAUUUGGAGGUUAGCUUUGGUCCUCAACAGUUCUCCAUGAUCCCACUUUCCACUUUGGUCUAAGGCAACAUUAAUAACAGUUUCAGCAUCCAUAAACCGUUUCUGAGCUGAUAAUACCCGAGCCAACAGCAUCCACCCUUUCAAAGUAGAACCACCUUCCAGUUUAAGCAACCACUUUGCGUAAUGGACUGCGGCAUCCAACUUCCUUUUCUCUGCAUUUUCUAGACAAAGAUGAUAAAUGACAUUAGCAUCACUCAUCUUUGUCAGUUUCCCAGCAGAUUCAAAGGACUUAAGUGCUUCUGAUUGUAUCUUAAUCCUCUCGGAAUCUGUCACCAUUGCUCUAGAAUGAGCUGAAAGUGAGAGGCCUAAUACCCAAUUGGCAACACCCAUCAACUGACUGCAUCUUUCUUGCUCGAUUCUAAUAGCUGUAUGAGCACAAAUUAUUCCUUCGUUUGCACAAUCUGGGAUUUCAGCACAUAAUUUUGAAGCCAAUAACAAACCUGGAACACAAGUGUGAUCCUCUGUAUUAAAUAGUUUCCGCAACAAGUCCAAGGCAGCUAAGUUAUCUUCUUCUCCAUAAUAACAUAGAGCUAAGAUAAGAUACAUCUCUUGCUGAUCUAUAGUUCUGGGAAGCAACUCUUCUACUUUGUUAGCCAAAGCCUUUAGACCCCCUGAUAUGGAUAAUGCAUAUGAGAGAUGGUCAAGAAUUGAAGGGUCCCACUCAAUCCUUUGUAAAAAAUCUUUUUCAACAAAAUCAUCAAGAGAAGAAUAGCCUCUUCAAUAUUGUUUCUGGGGACAAAUGAACCGUCCAUUGAGAUCGGAGAUUAGGUGGACAUGAUUCUCCUCCACUAUAGAGAAGAAAAACGGCAAAUUCCUUCUGAAUCCUUGCAGUAGCCUGGAUCUCAAGUUUCCAUGGAGGCAGAAG